GUCACCCAGUGAUCUUGUUGAAAUACAGAUUCUGAUUCAAUAAGUCCGAGGAGAGUCUUGAGAUUCUGCAUUUCUAACAAGCUCCCAGGUGAUGCCGA
rnacentral:pre_miRNA from 1 species